CAGUCGCCGCGGUAAUACGAAGGGUGCAAGCGUUACUCGGAAUUACUGGGCGUAAAGCGCGCGUAGGUGGUUUGUUAAGUUGGAUGUGAAAUCCCCUGGCUCAACCUGGGAACUGCAUCCAAAACUGGCAAGCUAGAGUAUGGUAGAGGGUGGUGGAAUUUCCUGUGUAGCGGUGAAAUGCGUAGAUAUAGGAAGGAACACCAGUGGCGAAGGCGACCACCUGGACUGAUACUGACACUGAGGUGCGAAAGCGUGGGGAGCAAACAGGAUUAGAUACCCCAGUAGUCCCUGUCUCUUAUAC
rnacentral:rRNA from 1 species